UGGGGAAUAUUCCGAAAUGGACGAAAGUCUGAUCUAGCAACACCGCGUGUGCGAUGAAGGCCUUCGGGUUGUAAAGCACUUUUUGGAAGGAUUAGGAAGGAAUGUACUUCCAGAAUAAGUCUCGGCUAACUACGUGCCAGCAGCCGCGGUAACACGUAGGAGGCGAACGUUAUCCGGAUUUACUGGGCGUAAAGCGCGUGUAGGUGGUUCUGUAAGUAGGGCGUGAAAGCUCCUGGCUCAACUGGGAGAGGCCGUUCUAAACUGCAGAGCUAGAGGAUGGUAGAGGGAGGUGGAAUUCCGGGUGUAGCGGUGGAAUGCGCAGAUAUCCGGAGGAACACCAGUGGCGAAGGCGGCCUCCUGGACCAUUCCUGACACUCAGACGCGAAAGCUAGGGUAGCAAACGG
rnacentral:rRNA from 1 species